rnacentral:rRNA from 1 species
GAUGAACGCUGGCGGCGUGCCUAAUACAUGCGAGUCGAGCGAACAGAUAAGGAGCUUGCUCCUUUGACGUUAGCGGCGGACGGGUGAGUAACACGUGGGUAACCUACCUAUAAGACUGGAAUAACUCCGGGAAACCGGGGCUAAUGCCGGAUAACAUUUAGAACCGCAUGGUUCUAAAGUGAAAGAUGGUUUUGCUAUCACUUAUAGAUGGACCCGCGCCGUAUUAGCUAGUUGGUAAGGUAACGGCUUACCAAGGCAACGAUACGUAGCCGACCUGAGAGGGUGAUCGGCCACACUGGAACUGAGACACGGUCCAGACUCCUACGGGAGGCAGCAGUAGGGAAUCUUCCGCAAUGGGCGAAAGCCUGACGGAGCAACGCCGCGUGAGUGAUGAAGGUCUUCGGAUCGUAAAACUCCGUUAUUAGGGAAGAACAAAUGUGUAAGUAACUGUGCACGUCUUGACGGUACCUAAUCAGAAAGCCACGGCUAACUACGUG